UGGCUCAGGACGAACGCUGGCGGCGUGCUUAACACAUGCAAGUCGAGCGAUGAAGCUUCUUCGGAAGUGGAUUAGCGGCGGACGGGUGAGUAACACGUGGGUAACCUGCCUCAUAGAGGGGAAUAGCCUUCCGAAAGGAAGAUUAAUACCGCAUAAGAUUGUAAUAUCGCAUGAUAUAGCAAUUAAAGGAGUAAUCCGCUAUGAGAUGGACCCGCGUCGCAUUAGCUAGUUGGUGAGGUAACGGCUCACCAAGGCGACGAUGCGUAGCCGACCUGAGAGGGUGAUCGGCCACAUUGGGACUGAGACACGGCCCAGACUCCUACGGGAGGCAGCAGUGGGGAAUAUUGCACAAUGGGGGAAACCCUGAUGCAAGCAACGCCGCGUGAGUGAUGACGGUCUUCGGAUUGUAAAGCUCUGUCUUCAGGGACGAUAAUGACGGUACCUGAGGAGGAAGCCACGGCUAACUACGUGCCAGCCGCGGC
rnacentral:rRNA from 1 species